ensembl:rRNA 5S_rRNA 5S ribosomal RNA
CCUUACGACCACACCGGUCUGAGUACGCCUGAUCUCGUCUGAUCUCGGAAGCUAAGCAGGGUCGGGCCUGGUUAGUACUUGGAUGGGAGACCGCCUGGGAAUACCAGGUGCUGUAAGCU